rnacentral:rRNA from 1 species
GACGAACGCUUGCGGCGUGCCUAAGAAAUGCAAGUCGAGCGGAGGAGCAAUCCUCAGCGGCGAACGGUCGCGUAACACGUAAGCAACCUGCCCGAAAGACCGGGACAACAGUGAGAAAUCGCUGCUAAUACCGGAUGUGGCCUGCCUUUCACCUGUGAGGCAGAUUAAAUCCCUUGUGGGCUUUCGGAGGGGCUUGCGGCCUAUCAGCUUGUUGGCGGGGUAACGGCCCACCAAGGCGACGACGGGUAGCUGGUCUGAGAGGAUGGUCAGCCGGACUGGGACUGAGAUACGGCCCAGACUCC